ACGCAGCCAUGCCGCGUGAUGAGAAGGCCUUCGGGUUGUAAAGUUCUUUCGGUGACGAGGAAGGUUGUUGUGUUAAUAGCGCAACAAAUUGACGUUAAUCACAGAAGAAGCACCGGCUAACUCCGUGCCAGCAGCCGCGGUAAUACGGAGGGUGCGAGCGUUAAUCGGAAUAACUGGGCGUAAAGGGCACGCAGGCGGCUAUUUAAGUGAGGUGUGAAAUCCCCGGGCUUAACCUGGGAAUUGCAUUUCAGACUGGGUAGCUAGAGUACUUUAGGGAGGGGUAGAAUUCCACGUGUAGCGGUGAAAUGCGUAGAGAUGUGGAGGAAUACCGAAGGCGAAGGCAGCCCCUUGGGAAUGUACUGACGCUCAUGUGCGAAAGCGUGGGGAGCAAACA
rnacentral:rRNA from 1 species